rnacentral:rRNA from 1 species
GGCCUACGGAGGCAGCAGUAGGGAAUCUUCCACAAUGGACGAAAGUCUGAUGGAGCAACGCCGCGUGAGUGAAGAAGGGUUUCGGCUCGUAAAGCUCUGUUGGGAGUGAAGAAAGAUAGAGGUAGUAACUGGCCUUUAUUUGACGGUAAUUACUUAGAAAGUCACGGCCAACUACGUGCCAGCAGCCGCGGUAAUACGUAGGUGGCAAGCGUUGUCCGGAUUUAUUGGGCGUAAAGCGAGUGCAGGCGGUUCAGGAAGUCUGAUG